rnacentral:rRNA from 1 species
UACGGAGGGUGCAAGCGUUAUCCGGAUUCACUGGGUUUAAAGGGUGCGUAGGCGGACAGGUAAGUCAGUGGUGAAAUCUCCGAGCUUAACUCGGAAACUGCCUUUGAUACUCUCUGUCUUGAAUAUGGUGGAGGUAAGCGGAAUAUGUCAUGUAGCGGUGAAAUGCUUAGAGAUGACAUAGAACACCUAUUGCGAAGGCAGCUUACUACGCCUAUAUUGACGCUGAGGCACGAAAGCGUGGGGAGUC